UGCAGUCGAACGCGUCUCCGUUGAUGAUUUUAGGUGCUUGCACUUGAAAGAUUUAACAUUGAGACGAGUGGCGAACUGGUGAGUAACACGUGGGUAACCUGCCCUUGAAGUAGGGGAUAACACUUGGAAACAGGUGCUAAUACCGUAUAACAACCAAAACCACCUGGUUUUGGUUUAAAAGACGGCUUCGGCUGUCACUUUAGGAUGGACCCGCGGCGUAUUAGCUUGUUGGUAAGGUAACGGCCUACCAAGGCGAUGAUACGUAGCCGACCUGAGAGGGUAAUCGGCCACAUUGGGACUGAGACACGGCCCAAACUCCUACGGGAGGCAGCAGUAGGGAAUCUUCCACAAUGGACGAAAGUCUGAUGGAGCAACGCCGCGUGAGUGAUGAAGGGUUUCGGCUCGUAAAACUCUGUUGUUGGAGAAGAACAGGUGUCAGAGUAACUGUUGACAUCUUGACGGUAUCCAACCAGAAAGCCACGGCUAACUACGUGCCAGCAGCCGCGGUAAUACGUAGGUGGCAAGCGUUGUCCGGAUUUAUUGGGCGUAAAGCGAGCGCAGGCGGUUUUUUAGGUCUGAUGUGAAAGCCUUCGGCUUAACCGGAGAAGUGCAUCGGAAACCGGGAGACUUGAGUGCAGAAGAGGACAGUGGAACUCCAUGUGUAGCGGUGAAAUGCGUAGAUAUAUGGAAGAACACCAGUGGCGAAGGCGGCUGUCUGGUCUGUAACUGACGCUGAGGCUCGAAAGCAUGGGUAGCGAACAGGAUUAGAUACCCUGGUAGUCCAUGCCGUAAACGAUGAGUGCUAAGUGUUGGAGGGUUUCCGCCCUUCAGUGCUGCAGCUAACGCAUUAAGCACUCCGCCUGGGGAAUACGACCGCAAGGUUGAAACUCAAAGGAAUUGACGGGGGCCCGCACAACCGGUGGAACAUGUGGUUUAAUUCGAUGCUACGCGAAGAACCUUACCAGGUCUUGGCAUCUUCUGCCAACCUAAAAGAUAAGGCGUUCCCUUCGGGGACAAAAUGACAGGUGGUGCAUGGUUGUCCUCCCCUCCUGUCCUGGAAAUGUGGGUUAAUUCCC
rnacentral:rRNA from 2 species